rnacentral:rRNA from 1 species
CAGCCGCCGCGGUAAUACGGAGGGGGCUAGCGUUGUUCGGAAUUACUGGGCGUAAAGCGCACGUAGGCGGCUUGGUAAGUUAGAGGUGAAAGCCUGGAGCUCAACUCCAGAAUUGCCUUUAAGACUGCCGAGCUAGCAGGUGAGAGAGGUAAGUGGAAUUCCGAGUGUAGAGGUGAAAUUCGUAGAUAUUCGGAAGAACACCAGUGGCGAAGGCGGCUUACUGGCUCAUACUGGACGCUGAGGUGCGAAAGCGUGGGGAGCAAACAGGAUUAGAUACCCCAGUAGUCCCUGUCUCUUAUCC